rnacentral:rRNA from 1 species
CAGUAGCCACGGUAAUACGUAGGUGGCAAGCGUUAUCCGGAAUUAUUGGGCGUAAAGCGCGCGUAGGCGGUUUCUUAAGUCUGAUGUGAAAGCCCACGGCUCAACCGUGGAGGGUCAUUGGAAACUGGGAAACUUGAGUGCAGAAGAGGAAAGUGGAAUUCCAUGUGUAGCGGUGAAAUGCGCAGAGAUAUGGAGGAACACCAGUGGCGAAGGCGACUUUCUGGUCUGUAACUGACGCUGAUGUGCGAAAGCGUGGGGAUCAAACAGGAUUAGAUACCCGCGUAGUCCCUGUCUCUUAUAA